rnacentral:rRNA from 1 species
AUUGAACGCUGGCGGCAGGCCUAACACAUGCAAGUCGAGCGGCAGCGGGAAAGUAGCUUGCUACUUUUGCCGGCGAGCGGCGGACGGGUGAGUAAUGCCUGGGAAAUUGCCCAGUCGAGGGGGAUAACAGUUGGAAACGACUGCUAAUACCGCAUACGCCCUACGGGGGAAAGCAGGGGACCUUCGGGCCUUGCGCGAUUGGAUAUGCCCAGGUGGGAUUAGCUAGUUGGCGAGGUAAUGGCUCACCAAGGCGACGAUCCCUAGCUGGUCUGAGAGGAUGAUCAGCCACACUGGAACUGAGACACGGUCCAGACUCCUACGGGAGGCAGCAGUGGGGAAUAUUGCACAAUGGGGGAAACCCUGAUGCAGCCAUGCCGCGUGUGUGAAGAAGGCCUUCGGGUUGUAAAGCACUUUCAGCGAGGAGGAAAGGUCAGUAGCUAAUACCUGCUGGCUGUGACGUUACUCGCAGAAGAAGCACCGGCUAACUCCGUGCCAGCCGCCGCCGUAAAAC